rnacentral:rRNA from 1 species
UACGUAGGGUGCAAGCGUUGUCCGGAAUUAUUGGGCGUAAAGAGCUCGUAGGCGGCUUGCCACGUCGACUGUGAAAACCCGGGGCUCAACUCCGGGCCUGCAGUCGAUACGGGCUGGCUUGAGUGCGGUAGGGGAGACUGGAAUUCCUGGUGUAGCGGUGAAAUGCGCAGAUAUCAGGAGGAACACCAAUUGCGAAGGCAGCUCGCUGGGACGUAACUGACGCUGAGACGCGAAAGCGUGGGGAGCAAACAGG